UGCGUGAUACACAUUCAAGAUGAAAACCCAUGGCUAAGAGAAAGUGACUGUAUUAAAAUACCUUUUAGACAAAUGAUUUUAAACGCCUCAAAGAUGGAAAGUAAAUAAGGACAGUGGAGAAAAGAAAACUUGCUGCCAAUCCACCACCUAUAGAUGACCACUAUAAACAAUUGAGAAUUGUACUGAAACAAAGAAGAACUGGGAUAUUGCUUAUAAAUAUAACUCACUGUUGGUUGUGCAGAAAGACUUUAAAAGGGAAAGUAAUCUAAAAAUUCUGCUCUUUUGGCCAAAGAGAGUUUCCCCCCUUUGGCAUCAUUUGGCACA
rnacentral:lncRNA from 1 species